AGGACGAACGCUGGCGGCGUGCUUAACACAUGCAAGUCGAGCGAGGCCCCUUCCUUCGGGAGGGGAGCCCUAGCGGCGAACGGGUGAGUAACACGUGGGCAAUCUGCCCCUAGCACUGGGAUAACUCCGGGAAACCGGGGCUAAUACCGGAUAUGACCUCCGAGGGCAUCCUCUGGAGGUGGAAAGGAUUCUGGCUAGGGAUGAGCCCGCGGCCUAUCAGCUAGUUGGUGGGUAAUGGCCCACCAAGGCGACG
rnacentral:rRNA from 1 species